CUUCAUUGAUAAAAUCUUGUCCAUUACCUUUAGAUUUAUUCAAUACCUUUAUUGCAGCAAAUUUACCGCUACGAAGCUUUCCUUUAUAAACAGAACCAAAGCCCCCUUCACCUAACUUUUCCUUGAAACCUCUGGUAAUCUUCUUAAUGUCCGAGUAAGAAUAUCUUAUUGGCAUAAGGUUAUUGUGGCUUUGUAAGAAUUCUUCAAUAGUGUCAUAGCCCGAUAGAUGCCUUCUUCGCCAUUUAUAAGUAAGAAAUGCAAUAACCAAUAGAGCCCCAAAUGAAGCUCUUGCAGCAAAAAACUUUCCUGUGUGAAGUUUAUGGUGGCAUUUAAGAGAGACAAACUCAUUAAAUAAACAAGGUUUUAGAAGCGUAAAGUUUACAAAUUAGCUAUGUUUUCAUAUGUUUUCUUUUUGACUCUCUACAUAUAAAUAAAUAUAUCUGAAAUUAAUUAACGAGAGGAGUUCUCACCAACAUUAGGCAUUAUCUUUGGGAGCCAAAUUCUGAGUUCAUAUGCUACGUCACUGACACUUUUCCAUCUUUUGCAAUGAACAUGGUUGCUGCUGUUAUCCAGGUAGCACCAAUGUGGACAAUGAAGACAGUAGAGGCCAUCGAACCAUGAAAGCUCGAACCCAAAUUCCAGAUCUUUGUGAAUUUCAAUGAAGGACGGAAUCCUCUCCCGGAAAUAAUCGUCUGUUCCAACAAAAGUCAUCAUCUCGAUGCUGCACAAGUCCAUUAAUUCAGAUGCCGACACGCCGCCCUUAACCAAAUAUGAAUAGUUGACUCCAUUGAUGCAAGGUGCAGUGUCCACAUAGUCCACAUAAUAAACAAAAUUCACUGGAUUUGGGCACUUGAUGAACACAAUCGCCGACGAUAAAGAGAACCCCGAAAAUACUUGGUUGCUGUAACUUCUGUCCGAGUAUGGAUCUUUCUCUUUGAAGUGGAGACUAGUCAAAGCAAAAUGAGGAAUGGAGGAACAAUCAUCUUGAUGAAUGCCAGCAUCCACCACUCGGAUAGUGAAGUUAUUGUAAUUGAUGGACUGCACAUGAAAUUUUCCUCCGUAUAGAUUUAACACCGUCAAAUUAUUUUCACAAGACAGGUUAUAUCUAUGGUCUCCACAGUUGAUUGAAUCAGUUUCGAGUCGGAAAGGGUAACUAAUGUUACGGAUAUUGCCGCAGGCUGAAGGUGCACAGCUGUUUGUUUCCGCAGCAUUGCAACUUUGGGAAAAUAACAGGAAAAGAAAGAUGACUCUUUCUCUAAUCAUGGGAGAAUUCGUGUGUGUUUAGAACUUCAGAUUUGUCUUAUGUGUUUAGAACUUCAAAAUGAUGUAGUUUCUAUCUUGUAGUGAUUUCUUAUUCUCCUAGAAUUUAAUGGACAAAUUUAUUCUCGUUUUGCG
rnacentral:misc_RNA from 1 species